rnacentral:rRNA from 1 species
AUUGAACGCUGGCGGCAGGCCUAACACAUGCAAGUCGAGCGGAUGAAGGGGGCUUGCUCCUGGAUUCAGCGGCGGACGGGUGAGUAAUGCCUAGGAAUCUGCCUGGUAGUGGGGGAUAACGUCCGGAAACGGGCGCUAAUACCGCAUACGUCCUGAGGGAGAAAGUGGGGGAUCUUCGGACCUCACGCUAUCAGAUGAGCCUAGGUCGGAUUAGCUAGUUGGUGGGGUAAAGGCCUACCAAGGCGACGAUCCGUAACUGGUCUGAGAGGAUGAUCAGUCACACUGGAACUGAGACACGGUCCAGACUCCUACGGGAGGCAGCAGUGGGGAAUAUUGGACAAAGGGCGAAAGCCUGAUCCAGCCAUGCCGCGUGUGUGAAGAAGGUCUUCGGAUUGUAAAGCACUUUAAGUUGGGGGGAAGGGCAGUAAGUUAAUACCUUGCUGUUUUGACGUUACCAACAGAAUAAGCACCGGCUAACUUCGUG